ensembl:rRNA 5S_rRNA 5S ribosomal RNA
AUUUAUUAACAUACCACCCUGAUCUCGUCUGAUGUCAGAAGCUAAGCAGGGUUGGGCCUGGUUAGUACUUGGAUGGGAGAUUACUUCUGUAUAGCAAGUCAGUG